rnacentral:rRNA from 1 species
UACGUAUGUCGCAAGCGUUAUCCGGAUUUAUUGGGUGUAAAGCGCGUCUAGGCGGUUUAGUAAGUCUGAUGUGAAAAUCCGGGGCUCAACCCCGUAUUGCGUUGGUAACUGCAAAACUAGAGUAAUGUAGAGGUAGGCGGAACUUCAAGUGUAGAGGUGAAAUUCGUAGAUAUUUGUAGGAAUGCCGAUGGGGAAGCCAGCCUACUGGACAGAUACUGACGCUAAAGCGCGAAAGUGUG